UACGGGAGGCAGCAGUGGGGAAUAUUGCACAAUGGGCGAAAGCCUGAUGCAGCUAUGCCGCGUGUAUGAAGAAGGCCUUAAGGUUGUAAAGUACUUUCAUCGGGGAGGAAAAAACAAAACUAAUAAUUUUAUUUCUUGACGUUACCCAAAAAGAAGCACCGGCUAACUCCGUGCCAGCAGCCGCGGUAAUACGGAGGGUGCUAGCGUUAAUCAGAAUUACUGGGCGUAAAGAGCACGUAGGUGGUUUUUUUAAAGUCAGAUGUGAAAUCCCUGGGCUUAACCUAGGAACUGCAUUUUGAAACUGAAAUACUAGAGUAUCGUAGAGGGAGGUAGAAUUCUAGGUGUAGCGGUGAAAUGCGUAGAUAUCUGGAGGAAUACCUGUGGCGAAAGCGGCCUCCUAAACGAAUACUGACACUGAGGGUGCGAAAGCGUGGGGAGCAAAACAGGGAUUAGAUACC
rnacentral:rRNA from 1 species